rnacentral:ncRNA from 2 species
GAGAUUUCUAAUUACUGACGGAUAAUUGUGGAAUACCACAGGGGAAUUAGAAAUCUGAAACGCCGACCGUCUGGGCAACAUUU